AAAGCGUCCGUAGCUGCUGUGUAAGUCCAUUGGGAAAUCGACCAGCUCAACUGGUCGCCGUCCGGUGGAAACUGCACAGCUUGGGGCCGAGAGACUCGACGGGUACGUCCGGGGUAGGAGUGAAAUCCUGUAAUCCUGAACGGACCACCAAUGGCGAAAGCACGUCGAGAGACCGGACCCGACGGUGAGGGACGAAAGCCAGGGUCUCGAACCGGAUUAGAUACCCGGGUAGUCCUGGCUGUAAACAAUGCUCGCUAGGUAUGUCACGCGCCAUGAGCACGCGAUGUGCCGUAGUGAAGACGAUAAGCGAGCCGCCUGGGAAGUACGUCCGCAAGGAUGAAACUUAAAGGAAUUGGCGGGGGAGCACCACAACCGGAGGAGCCUGCGGUUUAAUUGGACUCAACGCCGGACAUCUCACCGGUCCCGACAGUAGUAAUGACGGUCAGGUUGACGACUUUACCCGACGCUACUGAGAGGAGGUGCAUGGCCGCCGUCAGCUCGUACCGUGAGGCGUCCUGUUAAGUCAGGCAACGAGCGAGACCCGCAUCCGUAGUUGCCAGCAAUACCCACGUGGUAGUUGGGUACACUACGGAGACUGCCGCUGCUAAAGCGGAGGAAGGAACGGGCAACGGUAGGUCAGUAUGCCCCGAAUGGACCGGGCAACACGCGGGCUACAAUGGCUCUGACAAAGGGAUGCGACGCCGAGAGGCGAAGCUAAUCUCGAAACGGAGUCGUAGUUCGGAUUGCGGGCUGAAACUCGCCCGCAUGAAGCUGGAUUCGGUAGUAAUCGCGUGUCAGAAGCGCGCGGUGAAUUCGUCCCUGCUCCUUGCACACACCGCCCGUCAAAGCACCCGAGUGAGGUCCGGAUGAGGCCAGCAUGCGCUGGUCGAAUC
rnacentral:rRNA from 1 species